GUCUGGUGUGAACGCACCUUAAGAGAUUUAUUUGUCUUUGAUAUCCAUUUCAGAAUUUUACACAAUGACGUGCAGAGGAAGUACAACCUCCUGGGUGGAGGACGCCAGGGGAAAAAAAGCUUAAAGAAAACUGCUUUCUUCACAGUUGUUCUUGGUAAAUGAAUUAUAUCUCUGCAAGUUAUUACUUAUUCUUGGUCAUGUUACUGACUCAUUUAAAGCCUGAAGCUGUAAAAAAGUGAAGAAUCCUUCCGGACAAUACUAGAUAAUUUCUACACUUGCUAUGAUUCAAGUUUCUUUUGUUUUUUUAUCUUUUUGCAGAGUCUGUUCGCACUAACUUCCCGACAGCAACAGAGGAACUGGUCGCAGCAUCGAUUGGG
rnacentral:lncRNA from 1 species